AAACCGUAACUUCACACUUUGGAAUUGGUUGGCAAAUCUGGAGUUUUGAUUGGGGAUUUUCUCGUUUCGUUAUCUUAUGUAAUUAUCUAUGUAUUUCUGUCUUCUGAAUUAUUUUUCUGUUGGAAUUUGUUGUAAAGUUUGAGAAUUUAUUAAAAUUUUAUUAUCGUCGCGAUUUAGUUUGGGUUUAUGUUUUAUGUUUGUAUGUAUUCGAGAGAGUGCAAAACAGUUUGACUAUUGGGACGAUUCUGUUAGUCAGAAUGCAGCUAUACACACAGAUUGUGUUAAUGCUGCUAUAUAGAAAGGAUGGGAUUGUCUUUGAUGUAUGGGAAUAAAGAUAUAGUUGUUGUGGAAGUAAAGUACAAAAUUGAAUGAGUAGCUACAAAUAACGAAAUUCAUGGGGAGAGAGAUUAGAUGAUGUUGUAGUUGUGAAACGGUAUGUGUUAUGUUUAAUCUUGAUAACUGGCCUCAUUUGGUGGUUAAGUGGACUGAUUGGUCGAUCGGGAUGAGUUGAUCGGUUUAGUUCCAGAAGGGAAUUUAUAUGAACUGCUACAGAAUAAGAGUAUUUAAGAUUUUUAGCUUAGGUGAUCAGAGUUAUUCUCACAUAUAGCAGUGCUUACUGCAUUCACAUUAGGGGCAAUUAACUUGCAAACAAGUUGCAGCAAGUGGAGGUGUAUGAGUUGUAGUGAACUUCCCGGAAGAUGAGUGGUGAAAUCAUCAUAAUAUGUAUUUUAGAGACCAAAACGAAUCAACUUCAUGCAGAUGGAUUUUACCUGCAGAGGAAGCAAUUCUAGCCUAUGGAAUAAGCUAGUCAUGGAGAAACCAAGUGAAAAGGCUACUGUGGUAUGCUGCUAAUGAAUCAGUUGCUGGGCAUUUUAGCAAAUCCACAUGGGAGAAUAAGGAGGCUCAAAUUCAUUUAUUUAUUUAGGGUCAGAUUUUCAAGUGGCUGACACAUUUUUCUAAUGGGAAAGCUUGGAAAACAAAAGUGUGAAGAGACAAACAAGAUACGAAUGAAUGACCAUAGUAUGAAAAUCUGGUCUUGUAGCAAUCUCUAAAGCCAGGUGAAAAGCUGAGAUUUGGACUCUUGGAGAAUGUCUCGGUGCUUAAAAGCUUGUCUCUUUUUGCUUGGGUUUUCCUUAUUCACAAAGAUUUGGGACUUUAGGCUCAUAUUUCACUUAGGGCUUGCCACAAACUUUUGUAUUGAUAGCCAUGCCUUGAGGCAUGCUCACAGUAAGCAUUAUUUUUCCAAUAUGCUUACUGCUUGAUGAAAUAACUAAUUAUUGGCAUUGUCCGGGAUGAAUCUAGCUUAUUGAUGAUACCUUUACUUUGCCUGAUUUAAGUGACAACAGAUGUGGGUUGUGGUUUUAAUUAGGUUAAUAAAUACAAUAAGAUAAAGAACCAUCAAAAUAGAUUGGACAGAGAGGGCGGGGGGUAUAGAGAGAACAAGCCCUUUUUUUUGUUGGGGGGGGGGGGGGGGGAGAGGAGGAGGCAGAGAUGUUGAGUGCUUAGAGCAUUUCAUGUUGAGACUUCUGGAACUGCUUACUUCAUGUUAUGAUUGUUGAUUUUGGAGCAUCUCAUAAGUAAAAGAAAGAAAAUUGACCUUUCUAUUGAAGGCAUUUUUUUGGAGAAGCCUUUGAAAGCAAAUUGAGUUUUCAGCUAUUGGCCUCAUAAUAAGUUGCUUUACCUGUUAUCAUGCUUGUACAGAACCUCUCUUUGAUGAUUUCCUUGUAACUUGCUUUGAUGCUGGUGUCAGUUCUUCAUUCAGUAGUAAUAUUCACGGCACAGUUGUAAAAGCUUACCUCCUUUAUGUUUUCUGCUGUACGAGUGUGCUUCUGCUUGACUGCAGGAGGAGUCCUUCCCCUUUUCAUGUUAUCAUCUUAUGUUUUGUCAGUCUUCAAGACAGAAUAUUUUGGUUUCUAUUGGUGGUAGCUGAAUAUAUUCGUAAUUAGGUGAAGGCAAAGAAGCAAACAUUUUCAUCCUUUGACGAUUUACUGAAAACCGCUGACAAACCAGUGUUGGUUGAUUUCUAUGCAACCUGGUAAGUUCUUUUGGUGUGUUACUCUUCCAUUCUUUUAUGUACCUUUUUGUGAUUCGCAAAAUUUUAACUGGAGAUCAGUUCCUAUGAGACAUCAAAGCAUCUAAUGCUGAGACUUGCGUGCAGAUCGAGAGGUAUUUGGCGUUGCAUUUGACCAAUUUAAUCACUUUAUCAAUCUAGUGAUUGGCACUCUAACGGGUCAUUACUUCAAAAAUGGGAAUAUUCUUGGAAGCAUCUAUAAACCAAGGGGAUUUUUUUACCUUUUACUGUGAUAGUAGUAACUAAAUCUGCUUGAUGCAUAAAUUUCUUGAGUCUACCGAUACAAUGACAAGCUACCCAUCAAAACAAUUUCAUUUGCGCAAAGCUAUAGUAGGAAUUAAGCAGAGAUAUGGAUUUGCAGGUGUGGUCCAUGCCAAUUCAUGGUUCCUGUUCUGAAUGAGGUUAGUACAAGAAUGAAAGAUAAGAUCCAGGUGGUGAAGAUUGAUACUGAGAAGUAUCCGAGCAUCGCAGAUAAGUAUAGAAUUCAGGCACUCCCUACUUUUAUCAUAUUCAAGGAUGGAGAACCCCAUGAUCGUUUUGUAAGUUGACUGCAUCUUUUCUGUAGUGUUUCUUACUUCUGUGCUGUUUCUUAAUGAGAAAAGAUGCAUCCCGACACGGAGUUAUAAAUGGGUUUUAGUCUAAAUAUUGGCUUUCUACUAACAAAUAAUAGUAGUAGACCACAUCUCUCGAACGUCAGUGACUUCUUAAGCUGAUGCACUGCCUAAGGAAACUAAGAUCCCCGCCAAGGGCUAAGAGGUUAAGUUCCUAGGUUCCCCUUCCCCUUUGCUUACUCUAAUGGAGUGCCCUGUUUUUGGUAGAAUUGGUAAGAGUACGGUAAGUUACAAAGUUCGUUGGAUGUGAUGGAUCUCAGAAUCAGUGUUUGCAUAUAAAGUUAUGUUUUAGAUAUUUAAGAUUUCAUGUGGUGAAGAAUUUAAAGAGCACUAACUCAGAACUAUUUUUGUGUAUGAACAAUCUCUUUCUAAAUUUCCAGGAGGGUGCACUUACAGCAGACCAACUAAUACAGCAGAUCGAGUCCUCACUGAAAGUCAAGCAGUAGCCAUGAUGGUGAUCUUUCUUUGUUUAUAUCCCUGCGCUAACUGAGUCCUGACAGUUGCACAAGGCUUUCCUGAACUCUUGCUCCUUUUUUUUUUUUGGCUUUUCCAUUCUUCUUCCCUUAUGCCAGAUCAAACGGUAGGGUGAUGUGGGUACCUGAGAUGCUGGAUGUUUAUAGAGCUUUAUUCAUUUGAACGAGGACUUCCAUUUUGUAUCUGGUGAUAUUCCUCAAGAAGCAAAUGGGAAUCAUCGUUUGCCCUGGGGUGUAUUCAUCAGUACUCGUUAAUUAAACUUGUUCGCUGCUGCAGAUAGACAGAUUAAUUGAGAUUGUAAUGCAUAUGUACUGAUGAAAUUGAUCUAGAAUCUCAAAAAGUUUUCGCCAUGAUUCUUAACACCUUGGACUGUAAUUCAAGAAGCCCGUUUUAUCCAAGUACUGUCUUUUUUACUGAGAUUGGAAGCCUUUAUGGUUGUCCAUACUUUGUACUGGUUGUCAAUCACCUCUGCGGGUUUAAAGUUUCCUCCUUUCAAUAGCUCAGGAGAGACUUUGCUUCUUUAAGCAGCUGCCAAUAACUGCUUGAAAACCUCAUUUCUGUGUAACCAUCAAUCAAAAUGGAAUUACAUACCAUACAAGAUUAAACAGUCAAACAAGUUUCUGCUGUGCUCAACUUGACAGCCCAGGCUGGUGAACAAAUUCCACAGUCCCCAAUAGCUCAUAGAUCAAAAGAAGCCUCGUUGAAAAUCCCCAAACAAAUCCCAAUUAUUAAGUGCUGUUUUGAGUAUGUAUGACUGCUGCCGCUGGGAACAGUUGCUAUCUUUCAAGAAACAGAAGGAAGAAUGGAGAUGAGAGCAGGGGAAGACAUAGGCAUAGGAGAAGACCUCACACCUCCACUCUCACCCCUGGCCUUCUCUCUCCACGAUUCUUUCCUACACUCCCACUGCUCCGCCUGCUCGUUUCCUCUACCAAAUGCGCAUUUUACUCCCACUUCCCCCUCAAAUUCACUACCCCUCCACUACUACUGCUCCCCCCGUUGCUCCGCCCUUGACUCACCUCCCUUCAUGUGUCCCCCUCCUCCUCUCGAAGACUCGUCCCACCUCCGCCUCUCCCUCCGCCUCCUCCAUAAACUAUUCCACUCUCAGAACGAUACGGUAGAAGCAAAACUGGAUAGGAUUGGAGGGUUAAUGACCAACUAUGAGAAAUUCUUGAAUUUGUCUAAAAAUGAGGAGGAAGAUGAGGCAUUGGAGAUGAUUAAGGAAGGUGCGAGGGCGAUGAAGCUCUUGGCGGGAAAAUUGGAGGGAGUGGUUGGGGUGGAGGAGGCGGUGAUGUGCUUGGUGCUGACGAAUGCGGUGGAGGUGCAGGAUAAGGACGGGAGAAAUGUGGGGAUUGCGGUUUACGAUUGGAGGUUUUCGUGGAUUAAUCAUAGUUGUUCUCCCAACGCUUGUUUUCGGUUUGUAACGAGGAAGACCAUACCUCCUCAACAAGUGGUGGAGGGAGAAUCCCAGCUCCCGCGGUUGAGAAUUUACCCUGCUGCCAUGGACGGUGGAGCUGGUGAUGGACUUGCUGGUGAUUGCAAGAGUGAGUGAGUUUUUGAAUCGUUGUGCAUUUUCUUGAGUUGAAAUUUUUUUGUUUUGGUUGUUAUGAUGAACUGGUUGAUUGUUAUUUGUGUUGAAUAAUGUGCAGGCAGUGAGGGAUGUGGUCCGAGCAUCAUAGUCCGGAGCAUAAAAGGAAUUAAGAAGAAUGAGAGGAUCACAAUUACUUAUACUGAUUUGUUACAACCUAAGGUAAAACAGUUACUAACUACUUAAACCAGUGCGUUAUUCCAGUUUUCAACAGGUUAAAUUUAGCAUAGCUAGAAAUUUGGUGCUCCUGCAUUCCUAGAAUACUAAAAUUACCAAACUUCUAACAUAACAGAGUUGAAAAGGAAUGACACCAUCGCGGAAAGUGUUAUUCUGGUUAACGAUGGUUUUGUUUUGAUGCACGGCUUUCUUUUUCUUUGUUUGGUGGUGCUGGCUUUUUCAUCACAGUGUUUUUCUUUUUUGGGACUGAUCGGGCUGGAGUUGAAAUCAGAUACAGAUGUGGUUAAGUUUGGUGGCUAAGAAAUAUUCGUGCAGGAGUUAAAGGCAUAAUAGUCUCUUGUAUACUGUUUGUUCUGGCUUGAUGGUGCUGAUUUGAGUUAAUAAUGACUUUGUUGAUGAUGACACAUUUUUGCCCUCUGAACUGAUUAUAAUAUAGGAUCCAAAUAGUUGCUUUUAUCUUUAUAAUUUAUGUUUCACAUGGAAGGAUAUUCAAUCCUCAUCUUUGAUACAUGUCACUACUUUGUUGCAAUUCAGUCAAGUUUAUUCAUACUUGAACAAGGUGGCGUCCUGAAAAUAUUACAUCUAUUAGUUAUACAAUGUUUAUUGUCGCUUGACUAACUUGCAGUCUUGGCUGGUUAACUUGUGCAUUGAUCCAGCUCGAGUUAAGUACUUGGUUACUCAGCGUUUGCUCUGACAUAUAUUCUUCAGGAAAUGCGGCAGGCUGAAUUGUUUACAAAUUACCGGUUCAAUUGUUGCUGUAAGCGAUGUACUGCAACUCCUGCAACUUAUAUUGAUCGUGCUUUGCAGGUAUCUUCCCCUGUACUUGGUUUUCUAUUCUGUUAAACCUACAAGUCCAAUUUUAAGUUCCUUUAUCCUGUGUGUUUCUCUUCUUUACUGCUCAGUACUCCAGAACUAUGACCGUAUCUAUUAACUGUUCCUCCACAUAAAUUACUACUAGCAGUGAAAAUCACUGGAGUCAUUUCUUGCUGUAUGUGUACGUUUUAUCAUUGUUCCUCUUGAAAAGCACUGGUCACGUACAAUUCCAUUGUACUUUACCUGACUAGCUGCCUUAACCAUCUGACAUUAGCAUGUUUCUGUUCAAAGUAUAGACCAAAAGAAAGGAAUUCUGAAAUCUUGUAUGGUUCAAUUGUCAUGAAUGUGAAUUUUCAUGAACAGACAACGUGGUUUUAACUGCUUAUUUGCUUUCGCCUUUUGUGUAGGAAACUUUUGUUUCUGGUGUUGAUGGUCUCAACUUGACUUCCAAUGAAGACUCAUACAGAUCCAAGGCAACUACGAAAUUCAUGGAUUCAAUUGAUGGUGCUAUUGAUGAGUAUUUGACCUUUAACAAUCCCGAGUCAUGCUGUGAGAAGCUUGAGGAUUUGCUUACACAUGGGCACCUUCAGGAGCCACUGAAACCAAAGCCAGAAAAGUCACCUCAAUGCAUAAGGUUACACUUGUUUCAUUAUCAAUCUCUACAUGCAUACACCACACUUGCUUCAGCAUACAGAGUCCGUGCUAGUGACCUCUUGGCUCUUAAUCCUGAAAAUCAUCAGCAUCAAAUGGAAGCUUUCACUCUGAGCAGAAUAAGUGCAGCCUACUCCUUGUUGUUGGCUAUAGUUACGCAUCAUCUUUUUCUUUCUGAAUCUUCAAUAAUUGUCUGUGUUGCGAAUUUCUGGAAAAAUGCUGGGGAGUCCCUAGUUUAUCUCUUUAGAAGCUCAGCCUGGGGUACAUUUUCCAAUUUACAGCUAUCUGUUUCUGAAAAUUCAUCCAUUCUAAGCCAUAAACGCUAUCAGAUUGUCCAACUGGAUAGCAGUGGAGCCAAUUCUUUUAUUAAUACUGAAGAUCAAUUUGCAAUGUUUGGGGACAUAAGUAGGCAGCACAUAAAUGGUAUUGUCAACUUAACAGAGAAAAUUUGGAGCUUCCUUAGUCAUGAAAGUCGACAUCUGCAAGAAGUUAAAGAGCUCAUUGAUUUUAGAUGGCUUCUCACAGUGGAAACUCCCCUUGAUCUCGGAACUCGUCUUACUUGCCGGGAUAGCAGAACUGUUUCCAGACUUCAAGAAAAGGAGCAUACCAACCUAGAGAGAGCAUAUCUCUUUCAGCUUGGUCUCCACUGCCUGCAUUAUGCAACAUAUUUGUCAAACAUCUGUUAUGGCCUAAAUUCCCUGUUGACAGGUGAAGUUUGUCAAUCUUCUAUACUCUGAAGGUAUGUAUAGUGGCUGGUUAAUUCAACCAAUUUGCCUGCAAAUAUUAUGAAAUAGCGAUGUAAAAAGCUCAUCAGAUAGUGAUCAAAAGCUCAAUUCAUCACUCGUAUAUACCGUAUAGUUGAGUGUAUCUUUCCAGGAUUGAAUUCUCAUCGGAGGUCUUAAGUGGCAAUUUAUGCAUGCAGCCAUGCAGGGGCCAAUAUUAUCGUCCUCUUUCCUUUUGUUAUUCUUUGGGCCAUUAUCCCAGAAAUAAGCAUUUGAUGAGUUAAUUUUGGUGUACUGAAUUAAAUUAGAGUGAACUUUUGGGCCAAAUCAGGCUCCAAUUUCAAAUGUGGGUGCUCUUAUUGGGCCUCAAGAGAUUGGAUAAAGCCUGCCCACCUGACACCUAAGUAUCAAGUCAAAUGACCUAAACAAUACAUUGCAAACAAUCUAACAUCUGUUCUCUGGACUCUAGUACUUUUAUUUGUUUAUUUUUUUUUGUCUUCAUAUUAUACCCUUUUUGCCUUUAUAUUGUCAGAUUCAGAAUUCGAAAUCUGAACAUCAUAAUUAAAAGAAUGCUAAGAGCCUUUUUUGACAAACUUUUAUUUAUUUAUUUAUUUACAUCUUCUCAUUCUUGUUCAUACCUUUUUCUCGCCUUUAUAUUAUAUCCUUUUCUCCUCCAUAUCGAGAGACUCAAAAUUCGAAAUCUGAAACUCAUAAUUGAAAGGACGUCAAGAGCCUUUUUUGACAAUUAAACGAACCCUAAUGGUUUUAGUACCCAUUUAAAAUAGUUUGUCAAUUUGUUGUUGUAGAGAGCUACAAUGACUUUAUGAAGGUGAAGUAAGCAUUAAGUUUGACGGUGAUGAAUUUUACCUUUUCUUUUUCCCUUUCUUUUUGGUAGUAUGAUAUUAACUCAACAUUAUAAGAUUUUCAUGGGGGGCAUAAAGAUUAAAGAGUCAUGAAAUCUGUGAUUUCAUUUUCCAAGUGUGAAUAUUAGGUGGAUGGACAAAUCAACCUUCUUUUUUCCAUUCUUGGGGGCAGAAUUUCUUCUGCCACAGAUGUUGCCUAUCCAUAUCACGAUAAUGUACUCUUCUUGAGCGAGUAAAUUAAUUUGGUCCCCAAAUGAAAAUUUAGUUGGCCCAUCUCACCGACCACCACGUUUCCUUAACAACAAAGAAAAGGAAAUAUACAAAUGGAAAAUCUGAAUCUAAACCUCCCCAGAUAACAACACUCAAGUAUGUGAACUCCUCACCGGCCAGUUGAAAUCUGAUCCAGAAAAAAAAAAACCCACGAGGAAAAAGAUUAAAUGAAUUUAGUUAUUGGAAACCACCUUAGAAAAUGAAAUUAAAGAAAUGCUUAGGCUCAAUGUAUCUGCCAAAAUGAAGCAAUAAAUGGUCAUGUCAGAAGAUGGAUAGCCAAUGCAUUUGAAUCAUUCAUGCAUCCAUCUUCCAACUUUGCUUAAAACUGUGAACAAAGGGGUGGCUAGAGCUGUUAAACCAAUCAAGUAGCUCGAAAUCUCGUUAGAGCUCGGCUCGUUAAGGUUUAACGAGUCGAGCUCGAGCUCGAAACAUGCUCGUUUAGUUAACGAGCCGAGUAAGCUCGGCUCGUUUGAUACUCGAGUAGCUCGUUAGAGCUCGUUAAUGAAGGGCAUAUUUGUCAUUUUAGAAAUCAAAAUUAUAUAAAUUAAAAAUUAUAGAUUUUUAUUAAUGUUUAUUUGCACGAGCUCGAGCUCGAGCUCGUGAAGCUCGAUUCGUUUGUGAUAAACGAGUCGAGCUCGAGAACUCGAACCACAUGUACAUUUAACGAGCCGAGUUCGAACACAUUUUAAAGUUCGUUUUCUUAACGAGCUCGAGUCGAGCUCGGCUCGAAUUAAACUCGAGUCGAGCUCGGCAGCCAAAUACUCGGCUCGAUUAACAGCUCUAGGGGUGGCAAACAACAUCAUAUCCAUGUGGUGGAGGGCCAUAUCUGUGAAUUGACCCUUCCAAACAGGCGUUAGAGCACAAUUGGUCAGAGAGGAGAAACUUGAAGGUGCUUAUGGCUAUGAGUUACAUCUGUAAAGUAAUAUCAACAUUAAUCGUCCAUUUGUAUCAAUAAUGGAUCAAUUGAAAAAAAUAACGCAAGUUGCAUCCUGUAUAGUUUGUUUGGGGAUGGGGUCUAUGUCAAUGAAUUGGAUGAAAGGAGAAGAAACUUCAAACUAUGAAUUUAUAAUUAGUGAUUGAGCUUAAUACUUCAACCCAACCAUACCAAACUUCUUGGUUAUUGGAGAACCAAAUUAUUUAAUAGUCGUUAGGUGGGGAAAAAAAAAAAGAAUUGCUUAAACAAUCUAGAAUACUUCUUUUUUUGGUAAAUAUCUAGAAAAUAUCUCUUUGGCUGAAGAUCACUAGUUGUUAUCUUGACCAAGAAAUACUGGUAGACCAUUUAACUUUCAAAAUGUUGAUUAUUGAUCACUAAGAUAUGUUUCAACCGCUUAAUCAUGAUUUGAUAGAGUUUUAAUUUCCCACUAUCCCUUGUCAAUCAGCAAAAUUGUGUUUGAUGACACGACUAAUUACCCUUCCAUAUAUAUAUAUAUAUAUCCUCCUUAAUGGUCCCAAAAAAUUAAACAGCUCUGAUAUCCCCCCAAAAAAAAAGACAGAGUUAAAAUCCAAAUUCACCUAAUUCAACGCAUUGAAAAUUUGUGGAAAUGAAUUUAAACCUCCUUUUUCUAUCAAUUUUUUUUUCAACGCCCGUUAAUCACGCUCCUAACACCAUCCAAUAAUUAAGAUUUCUAGCCGAUUACUACUAAAUCAUCGCCUAUAGGCUAUAAACAGCCUCCAGUCAACAAACAAACAAUCACCACCACUCAGAUCAGAUAUUUUUCAUAAGUUGUCCUAUUGUCAGUUUUACACCACUAAGAUCAUCAUGGCUGGAGAGAAGCACCGCCACCACCUCGUCCACCACCACAAGGAAGAGAAGCCUGUCGAGAGAAGCACCACUAAGACCAUCAUGGCUGAAGAGAAGCGCCACCACUACCACCACAAGGAAGAGAAGCACCACCACCACCUCGUCCACCACCACAAGGAAGAGAGAAGCACCACUAAGACCAUCAUGGUUGAAGAGAGAAGCACCACUAAGACCAUCAUGGUUGAAGAGAAGCACCACCACCACCUCGUCCACCACCACAAGGAAGAGAAGCACCACCACCACCUUGUCCACCACCACAAGGAAGAGAAGAAGCACCAGCACCACCUCGUCCAGCACCAGCACCAGCACCAGCACCACCUCGUCCAGCACCACCACCACCACCACCACCACCACCACAAGGAAGAGAAGCACCACCACCACAAGCCUGUCGAGAGAAGCACCACUAAGACCAUCAUGGCUGAAGAGAAGCACCGCCACCACCUCGUCCACCACCACAAGGAAGAGAAGCACCGCCACCACAAGCCAUAAUAAAAGGCAUAAUAGUCUCUUGUAUACUGUUUGUUCUGGCUUGAUGGUGCUGAUUUGAGUUAAAAAAGAUAAUGACUAUGUUGAUGAUGACACAUUUUCUGCCUUGGGAACCAAUUAUAAUAUAGGAUCCGAAUAGUUGCUUUUAUCUUUAUAAUUUAUGUUUCACAUGGAAAGAUAUUCAAUUCUCAUCUUUGAUACAUGUCACUACUUUGUUGCAAUUCAGUCAAGUUUAUUCAUACUUGAACAAGGCGGUGUCCUGAAAAUAUGACAUCUAUUAGUUAUACAAUGUUUAUUGUUGCUUGACUAACUUGCAGUCUUGGGUGGUUAACUUGUGCAUUGAUCCAGCUUGAGUUAAGUACUUGGUUACUCAGCGUUUGCUCUGACAUAUAUUCUUCAGUAAAUGCGGCAGGCUGAAUUGUUUACAAAUUACCGGUUCAAUUGUUGCUGUGUAAGCGAUGUACUGCAACUCCUGCAACUUAUAUUGAUCGUGCUUUGCUGGUAUCGUCCCCUGUACUUGCUUGUCCUUGGUUUUCUAUUCUGUUAAACCUACAACUCCAAUUUUAAGUUCCUUUAUCCUGUGUGUUUCUCUUCUUUGCUGCUCAGUACUCCAGAACUAUGACCGUAUCCAUUAACCGUCCCUCCUCAUAAAUUACUACUAGCAGUGAAAAUCACUGGAGUCAUUUCUUGCUGCACUCUUGAAAAGCACUGUCAUGUACAAUUCCAUUGUACUUUACCUGACUUGCUGCCUUAACCAUCUGACAUUAGCAUGUUUCCGCUCAAAGUAUAGACCAAAAGAAAGGAAUUCUGAAAUCUUCUAUGGUUCAAUUGUCAUGAAUGUGAGUUUUCAUGAACAGACAACGUGGCUUUAACUGCUUAUUUGCUUUUGCCUUUUUGUGUAGGAAACUUUUGUUUCUGGUGUUGAUGGUCUCAACUUAACUUCCAAUGAAGACUCGUACAAAUCCAAGGCAACUACGAAAUUCAUGGAUUCAAUUGAUGGUGCUAUUGAUGAGUAUUUGACCUUUAACAAUCCCGAGUCAUGCUGUGAGAAGCUUGAGGAUUUGCUUACACAUGGGCACCUUCAGGGGCCACUGAGACCAAAGCCAGAAAAGUCACCUCAAUGCAUAAGGUUACACUUGUUUCAUCAUCAAUCUCUACAUGCAUACACCACACUUGCUUCAGCAUACAGAGUCCGUGCUAGUGACCUCUUGGCUCUUAAUUCUGAAAAUCAUCAGCAUCAUAUGGAAGCUUUCACUCUGAGCAGAAUAAGUGCAGCCUACUCCUUGUUGUUGGCUAUAGUUACGCAUCAUCUUUUUCUUUCUGAAUCUUCAAUAAUUGUCUGUGUUGCGAAUUUCUGGAAAAAUGCCGGGGAGUCCCUAGUUUAUCUCUUUAGAAGCUCAGCCUGGGUUACAUUUUCCAGUUUGCACCAAUCUGUUUCUGAAAAUUCAUCCAUUCUAAGCCAUAAAUGCUGAAGAUCAAUUCUUUUAUUAAUACUGAAGAUCAAUAUGCAAUGUUUGGGGACAUAAGCAGGCAGCACAUAAAUUGUAUUGUCAACAUAACAGAAAAAGUAUGGAGCUUCCUUAGUCAUGAAAGUCGACAUCUGCAAGAAGUUAAAGAGCUCAUUGAUUUUUGAUGGCUUCUCACAGUGGAAACUCCCCUUGAUCUCGGAACUCGUAUUACUUGCCGGGAUAGCAGAACUGUUUCCAGACUUCAAAAAAAGGAGCAUGCCAACCUAGAGAGAGCAUAUCUCUUUCAGCUUGGUCUCCACUGCUUACACUAUGCAACAUACCUGUCAAGCAUCUGUUAUGGCCUAAAUUCCCUGUUGAUAGGUGAAGUUUGUCAAUCUUCUAUACUCUGAAGGUAUGUAUAGUGGCUGGUUAGUUCAACCAAUUUGGCUGAAAAUAUUAUCAAAAAAUAGCGAUGUGAAAAGGUCAUCAAAUAGAUGGUGAUCAAAAAGCUCAGUUCAUCACUCGUAUAUACCGUAUAGUUGAGUGUAUCUUUCCAGGAUUGAAUUCUCAUAGAUGGUGAUCAAAAAGCUCAAUUCAUCACUCGUAAUGCAUGCAAGCAGGAGCCCAAUAUUUCGUCCUCUUUCCAUUUGUUUUUUUUGGGCCACAGUCCUAGAAAUAAGCAUUUCAUGAGUUAAUUUUGGUCUACUGAAUUGAAUAAGAGUGAACUUUUGGGCCAAAUCAGGCUCCAAUUUCAAAUGUGGGUGCUGUUAUUGGGCCUCAAGAGAUUGGAUAAAGCCUGCCCACCUGACACCUAAGUAUCAAGGUCAAAUGACCUCAAACAAUCUAAUAUCCGUUCGCCAGUACUUUUAUUUGUUUAUUUUUUCUUGCCUUCAUAUUACACCCUUCUCGCCUUUAUAUUGUCUGAUUCAGAAUUCAAAAUCUGAAUCUCAUAAUUGAAAGGACGCUAAGAGCUUUUUUUUGACAAAUUUUUAUUUAUUUAUUUAUUACAUUCUUUCAUUCCUGUUCAUACCUUUUUCUUGCAGUCAUAUUAUACCCUUUUCUCCUUUGUACCGAGAGACUCAGAAUUCGAAAUCUGAACCUCAUAAUUGAAAGGACGUUAAGAGCCUAUUUUGACAACUGAACAAACCCUAAUAGUUUUAGUACUUACUUAAAAGAGUUUGUCAAUUUGUUGUUGUAGAGAGCUACAAUGACUUUAUGAAGGUAAAGUGGACAUUAAGUUUGGGCAGUGUCGAAUUUUACCUUUUCUUUUUCCCUUUCUUUUUGGUAGUAUGAUAUUAACUCGACAUUAUAAGAUUUUCAUGGGGGGUGGUUUGAAGUCUCCAUUUUGUUGCAACUAUUCAAAGAGUCAUGAAAUCUGUGAUUUCAUUUUCCAAGUGUGAAUAUUAGGUGGAUGGACAAAUCAACCUUCUUUUUUCCAUUCUUGGGGCAGAAUUUCUUCUCCCACGGAUGUUUCCUAUCCAUAUCACGAUAAUGUACUCUUCUUGAGCGAGUAAAUUAAUUGGUCCCCAAAUGGAAAUUUAGUUGGCACGUCUCACCGACCACGUUUCCUUAACAGCGAAGAAAAGGAAAUAUACAAAUGGAAAAUAAUCUGAAUCUAAACCACCCCAGAUAUCAACAUUCAAGUGGUGGAUAGUCAAUGCAUUUGGAUCAUUCAUGCAUCCAUCUUCCAACUUUGCUUAAAAUUGUGAACAAAGGGGUGGCAAACAACAUCAUAUCCAUGUGGUGGAGGCCAUACCUGUGAAUUGACCCUUCCAAACAGGCGUUAGAGCACAAUUGGUCAGAGAGGAGAAACUUGAAGGUGCAUAUGGCUAUGAGUUACAUCUGUAAAGUAAUAUCAACAUUAAUCGUCCAUUUGUAUCAAUCAUGGAUCAAUUGACAAAAAAAAACCCAAGUUGCAUCCUGUAUAGUUUGUCUGGGGAUGGGGUCUAUGUCAAUGAAUUGGAUGAAAGGAGAAGAAACUUCAAACUAUGAAUUUAUAAUUAGUGAUUGAGCUUAAUUCUUCAACCCAACCACACCAAACUUCUUGGUUAUUGGAGAACCAAAUCAUAUAUAUAUAUAUAUAAUAAAGUCGUAUCCUCAUUUAUCGUUUCAUGUUUUCUUUUUCUUAUGUGGCUUAACGAGAUAGCAAGUAAUUUUCUACGUGGCUUGCUUCUUUUUUGUUUGGAUUUAUAUCAAUUCUUAUUUCCUAUAUUAUAUGAUUGGUCCGAUAAAAUAUAUCAAUUCUUAGUCCGAUAAAAAUUGUUAGUCCGAUAAAAAUUGUGAUACAAAAUGGAUCAAUUGGAAAAAAAACCCCAAGUUGCAUCCUGUAUAGUUUGUCUGGGGAUGGGGUCUAUGUCAAUGAAUUGGAUGAAAGGAGAAGAAACUUCAAACUAUGAAUUUAUAAUUAGUGAUUGAGCUUAAUACUUCAACCCAACCAUACCAAACUUCUUGGUUAUUGGAGAACCAAAUUAUUUAAUAGUCGUAAGGUGGGAAAAAAAAAAGAAUUGCUUAAACAAUCUAGAAUACUUCUUUUUUUGGUAAAUAUCUAGAAAAUAUCUCUUUGGCUAUCUUGACCAAGAAAUACUGGUAGACCAUUUAACUUUCAAAAUGUUGAUUAUUGAUCACUAAGAUAUGUUUCAACCGCUUAAUCAUGAUUUAAUAGAGUUUUAAUUUCCCACUAUCCCUUGUCAAUCAGCAAAAUUGUGUUUGAUGACACGACUAAUUACCCUUCCAUAUAUAUAUAUAUAUAUCCUCCUUUUUCUAUCAAUUUUUUUUUUCAACGCCCGUUAAUCACGCUCCUAACACUAUCCAAUAACUAAGAUUUCUAGCCGAUUACUACUAAAUCAUCGCCUGUAGGCUAUAAAUAGCCUCCUCUCCACAAUCCAACAAACAGAAAAUUACCACCACUCAGAUCAGAUAUUUUUCAUAAGUUGUCCUAUUAUCAGUUUUACACCACUAAGACUAUCAUGGCUGAAGCCUUCCACCACCACAACCCCUUCCACCACCACAAGGAACAGACGGCUGCCGAAGCCGUUGGCUACUCCGACACCACCUACUCUGGAGGCUACGGUGGAGAGCCAGCACAUGAUUAUGAGAAAGAAAGAAAGCACCACAAGCACCUUGAGCAACUUGGUGGACUCGGUGCUGUCGCUGCUGGCGCCUAUGCCUUGGUAUAUUUCCGAUUUUGUGAUCCUUGCUUGUAUAACUCAGUUUUCAUGAUAAGCCACGAAGGCAUGCUUGUCUAUAAGAAGCCACAAAUUAAACUCAGUUUUUUUUUGUAUUAGUCCAUAAAGACUAAACAUUUUUGUUAUCAUUUCGUUUGAUCAGACAAUCAAAGAUUAUGUACGUCCAAUAUCAAAAGGGUUGUUCAGUAAAUCAGAAAAAUCUCUUUCGAAAAAUAAAAAAAAAAAGAUUAAAGAAUCUCUAGGGGGGAUAAAAUCGUAUGGUAUGGUCCAAUUAUAGUGUUGUGUUGAAUUUUAUGCUCUAAUCGGACUAAAAAUUUUGCAGUCAAUUGACUGUAUCAUAAACUCUUUUAAGUAGGACAUGGUUUUUGGCUUUACUAAUUUCUUGUUUGUUUUUUUUGUCGAAAUUUCCAUAAUCCAGCAUGAGAAGCACAAGUCCAAGAAAGAUCCUGAGCAUGCCCACAAGCACAAGAUAGAAGAAGAGAUUGCAGCAGUAGCUGCAGUGGGUGCCGGUGGAUUUGCGUUCCAUGAGCAUCACGAGAAGAAGGAUGCCAAGAAAGAAGAGGAAAAGGCUGAGGGAAAGCACCACCACCAC
rnacentral:lncRNA from 1 species